CAGCCUCCCAGGUAACGUGGCACUCUAGGCGUUUCAGUCAGCAGAGCACGUGUGCGUCUCAGCCCCAAGCUGUCACUUUGUCCUUGGCAUAGAGCUAUCAAGGGUGUAGAACUACCAAGCAGAGCUGCUGCUUGCUCUGAGGAACCGGAGCGGGACUAAGGGUAUCCCUUUGAAGGACUCAGACUCUGCUGGCAACCUCCCCUUCUUCCCAUCUGUCUCUGUGCAUGGGAAAGCUCUGUCCCAGAUUCCAUCUCAGAGACCAGGAACGCGGUCACCUUUGUGUGGAAAAAAGUAUUUCUGUUGCCACCUGCCUUACUCGGAGCCUUCCCAGCACCACUGUGCCAGAGCCAUUCCUCUCUUUGAGUUUGUUUGGGAGCAGGAGCUGGGUGGGAGCCAGGGGCUUGCAUAGUCAUCUGUGUUAAUGAAUGGAAAAUUGUUCCAUUUUAAUCACACAGGUGUGCCCUGGAGAAAGUGCACUUCAGGCCAGCAUGGCUGGCAUGGCUCCAGGGCUGAGUCCAGCUCCCUUUCUCAGCCCUGCCUUGUGGCAGGAAUCCUAUGCCCUGCCUCCCCCACAGACAGCUCUCCACUGCCCAAGCAGCACAGCUAUCAUGGAGCAUGUGUCCAAGCAGAGGUCUUUGCUUCUCUGGCCUACAGGAGGGGCUCCCCAGGGUGAUCUCUCUAAGGAACCGGAUCUGUGCUGGGAUUGGAGUCAAUUUCCCCCUGCCUCUGAAUGGGCUAAAGUAGGAUUUAGCCAGAGAAGAGAAUUGUAUGGCUGUCUCACAAACUGUUAGGAUUACAGGCUGAGUUUGGGCAUCCUAGGCUGUCAGCCUGUGUCUACCCAGCAGACCCCGUUUAAAUCUAACAUCCCCUUGAGAGUCCCUCACUAGGCAGUGAGCCCCUCCAUUUACAGUGUCCCCAUACAUGCCUCCAGGAGCAAUGAAGCAUUGGCUGGAGCACAGUGUUGUUUCCCAGCCUCACCAGUACAGAUGUUCCCACAGAGCCUGUCUGUGACCAGCUGUCCUUUUCCAUCCCUCACAUCUUAUCUCCCUACCUACCCACCCAUCCCAUCUCUCAGCUUAUUCCCUCCAUCAGGGCAUGGGAAGGGGAAAAAGGCAAAGGAAAUGAAUGGGGGUGUGGCUAGCCCCAACCUCAAGCAGCCCAGCUCCAUGGCCUGAGAGCAAGGCAUGUGGCUGGAGCAGGCAGCUAUCUGAUGUGUGCCGCAGCCUGUGGUGAGAUCCUGCCAGACCAUGUCCUGAUCCCCAUCUGUUUCUUGCGUGUGUCUGGUUUGUUUGUUGUUUUUUAACAUCCAUGCUGGUCAUGUUAACUGCUCCACAAUAAAUCUUACUGAAGGACCUGCAGGCCACUGCCUCUUGCUUCCCUGCAGGGCUCCCAGCAGCCUCUCCAAUGAAUCUAACAUUAUCCAGCAUCCAUUAAGCCCGAGGUCAGGGGAAAUUAGCUGCAGCUCUACUCACUUGGCUCUUGCUCCAUCUCAAUGCCCUAGGGGCUGUCCGACAGCCCUGUGCUCCAUAGCCCCUCCCCCUGCAUUGCACACAGCUGGACUCACGGAUACUCUAAAACUGGGGGGGCAACUGGAGCAAUUUCCAGUCUGGGCUGGGAGAGACCAGGCAGGUUCUGCUUCCUAUUGCCAUGAGAGUGCAGCCCCCUGGCCUUUGACUGCACCAGGCUGUCAGGACGGGUGAUCCUGAUGGGUGCUUAGCAGGCCCCAAAACAUGCUCAGUACCCUGAAAUCAAGAGACCUGACCCUGUGAGAGCCUGAGCACCAUCAAUUCUCACUGCAACUGGUGACUAUGGAGGGGGCUCAGUACUUCACAAGAUCAGGGCGUGAGGGAGGCAGGGAGCAGGCUGAGAGCAUCAGUCACAUGCACCUGCAACCUGCUAGGCUUUGGCUUCAGUGGACAUGGCAGGGGCUCUGCAUUGUGUCCAGUCAUGUCUGCACCAGAUACAAGAAUGGCUGGAGCUCUGUUUUGAGAGCUGUGGUAAAGAUCUUGCCCAGAAGCUUCCAGCUGGCCUGGUAGGGGCUCUUUUCUACAGGAGUGGGAGAUAAACCCAUUGGGCACCUAGUGCAAGUAUCCAGACCAGGGCAGUGGGGCAUCCUUUCAACUGUUCCCCAGUGGGCCUCACACAGCUGGGGUGAAGAGACGGAACUGCCCAUGGGUUAUAACACUGCUUGUUGGUCCUAUUGAAGGCUGCUCCAUUACUUCUGACACCUUUUCCUAUCCCAGGUGCCCCAGACUACCCUCAUGACAUGCCAAGUUGUGUGAUAGUGCCACAGUGCUGUAGGGACUAGGGAAGCAGCUAUGAGCUCUGGUGACAUGGAGACCUGCUCCCACAGGAGCUGGAAGGGGAGGGAGGAGGGAGUGGGGGGGUUAACAUUAAUUACUGUGAAAGUGCUAUUGUAGCCCUAGAUUUUUCUCCAUCCAGCCCCUCCACUCCACACAGGGACCAGAUCUCUUCUGCCAGAAUCCUUGUGUUUAUGAAUGAAAUGGGUAGUAUUUGGCUUCUGUCAGCAUUUUCUGAGCCCAGUGACUGUAACCACGUGCAAAUGAGAAGCCAAUUUUGGGGUCAGACAGAUCUCUCUCUCUCUCACACGCAAACACACACACACUCCCUCUCCCUCCCUCUUUCCCCUGGUUUUCUCCCACUAAUUCUCAGAGGUGCUGCACUCCUGUGGCCCACACUGGUUUCCAUCAGGGUUGUGGGCACUCAACAUCUCUGGUGAUCAUGAAGCCCUAGACAGGAGCCCAGAUAUCCCUCUGGUGCUGGUCUGAGGGGCUGCAGAGACCAUGCUCAGCUGUUGGCCAGAGGAGGGGUUGGAGAGCUGGGUAACAAACUUCAGCAGUGAUCCCUGUAGAUCAUUUUAAAAUGCACCAUCUAAUUCUGUUAUGCCACACAAGGGCAGCUGCCAAAUAAAGCCUCCCAGCUGGGAAAGGUUAAUGGGAGGAUUAACAUUCCUGAAGCAGCAGAGCUGUAUAACUAGCAGUAUUGUUGGCACUUAAGCACUGUGGUGCCCUAGCCCUUCAGAACUGCUCUUGCUGGCUAAAGGAUAAGUGACUGACCCCUAGUAUUAGAUAACUCACUAGUGCACCAAUGCAUUUGUGGGUGCCCCUCACCAAGGCAUUUCUGACCUGCUAUGCUCAGGCCUCUCCAGGGGUGAGUCAAGGGCGAUGGAGCAGGAAGGAGUUUUUGGUGACAAGGCAGUGACUGCUACAGAGAAUGUCUCUUUGUCUGCUUCUUCCUGGCUCUUGGAGAUGAAGCUGGCAACUUUCUGGCAUCCUUCUCCACUUAGGGCUUCUGAAUACUUUCCAAGGGGGGGAAGGGGGGCCAUCUUCAGCACCAACCUGGCCUGGGGAACAGAAGGGGUGUGGGCAGCAAGGGCAGGAGCCAGAAACCAUGAACUUUCCCUGCUGAAUGAACUACCAAGUUGGAGCUUGGCCAUGGAGCUGCUUCUUCAGGAAGUCACAUCAGGGGCAGCACAGACCUGCCUGAAGAAAUUUAGCUCAGCAAAGCCAGAGAGCAGCUGGAGGAUGCAAAGACCAGAACUUCUUAGCAACCUUAUCCUCACUGACUUGGCUGAGGUCCCCUGUUUUCCAGCCCAUGAGAGAUCUGAGAAGCUUCAAGCCAAUAUAAGCUGUUAUCAAAGAGCACAGCCUGACAUGGACCACAGAGUAAA